rnacentral:rRNA from 1 species
UAAUACGUAGGGUGCGAGCGUUAAUCGGAAUUACUGGGCGUAAAGCGUGCGCAGGCGGUUCUCCAAGUCCGUUGUGAAAGCCCCGGGCUCAACCUGGGAAUGGCAGUGGAAACUAGGGGACUGGAAUCUGGCAGAGGGGGGUGGAAUGCCGCGUGUAGCAGUGAAAUGCGUAGAGAUGCGGCGGAACACCGAUGGCGAAGGCAGCCCCCUGGGCUGAGAUUGACGCUCAGGCACGAAAGCGUGGGGAGCAAACAGGAUUAGAUACCCUGGUAGUCCACGCUGUAAACGAUGGGCACUAGGUGUCCGGGGUAUUGACCCCCUGGGUGCCGCAGCUAACGCAUUAAGUGCCCCGCCUGGGGAGUACGGUCGCAAGAUUA